rnacentral:lncRNA from 1 species
AAUCUAUUUCAUGUGUAGGGCAUCUUCCCCCAGAAUCUUACAGUCCCUUUCUGUGAACAGAAGUGGACACACCUGGGAACCCUCCCCAUCUCUCUGGAUGUGGCCAGGAAACGCCCGCAGGUCCUUGCCCUGUCUGUAUGGUGUCCUCACUUCUCCAUCCAUACAGAUGACUCCAGUGGGCAUUUUUUUAUUUUAAAUUUUUUACAUGAAGCAAUAGAAGUACAAAAUACUUAUUUUUUCAAAAUUUAAUGUGUUCCAUGAAACCUGUUGGCAAUCCUUUUCCUUCCCCCACCCGCCCCUUCUAAAUUCUUUGGUUUUUAGUUGUUUGUAUUUUGUAUUUUUUUUUUUUUUCUUGGCCUUGUAUCCCAAGGACUAAAAAAUUAGCACAGACACGUUUUGAUGUUGAAUGAACUAGUAAGUCACAGUAGGUGGUAGUCUUCCUCAGUUUCUCUAAGUUUUUAAAGAAUGUAUGAAGAUAGUCAUGAAUGUAUUGAGUGUUCGCAUCCUGCUUCAGUUCACCUUGGCUGUGUCUACAUGACAACAAAUGUUCGACAGGGAAUAAAGUCGUGUCUGAUGUCAUUUGCGCUAGCGUGCCCCUCCCCUUUCAGUGUUGGCUCCAAACCUUCCUUUCCUUUUAUGUUUGUGGGGAGGGGGAACCACAUCAGCAGCAAUCAUCAACCAACCAGCCGAUGGGAUCUACUUAGUGGUGAAUGGAUUGGCUAUUUAGUUGGUAAAAGUCACUGGUCUGACCACACCACAGCAUGACCACUGGGUUCAUUUAGAGAUGGCCUCCGUUUCCAACGUUCCCCCCAAAUGUUUGCUUCUUGCCCAGUCGAGAAGGGAUCUCAAGACUCCCCAGUGGAGGUCGUGAGCCCGCACCCUGCCUGGCUGUGUAGAUAGACUGUACAGAUAUAUGAAGUGGGGGUGGGGGCCGAGGGGCUGUUACUGCUGUUUGGAAAUGCUUGCCUCUCGUAGAUCCAGCCUUAAUGUUUUUCUGACAUCCUAGUAAUAGCAGACCCUGCACAAAGUGGAUAUCAGAGUUAAUACUGUGAGGAGCAAAAUAAUGAGAAUAGUUUUACCAAAGAUAAUGAAAUCUCGCAUCAUGUCUGCAUUUUACCAUAGAUUGGAGUGCAUCCUUAGGAAACUGAAUGUAACAAAAACCCAGGACAUUUUUGGAAAUUGUAUGCUCUCUAGCAACUUUGUGUGAAUUUUUAUACAAACACUGUUUUAUGAGUUAUAUAAAAUGUUAUAAAAAUAGAAAAA